rnacentral:rRNA from 1 species
GACGAACGCUGGCGGCGUGCUUAACACAUGCAAGUCGAACGGAAAGGCCCUUUUGGGGGUACCCGAGUGGCGAACGGGGGAGUAACACGUGGGUAACCUGCCCUUGACUCCGGGAUAACUUCGGGAACGUGGGGCAAAUACCGGUAAGGAAUCAUUCCUGCUUGGUGGGGGUGGGAAAGCUCCGGCGGUUUUGGAUGGUCUCGCGGCUUAUCAGCUUGUUGGUGGGGUGGUGGCUUACCAGGGCUUUGACGGGUAGCCGGCCUGAGGGGGCGACCGGCCACAUUGGGACUGAGAUACGGCCCAGACUCCUACGGGAGGCAGCAGUGGGGAAUAUUGCACAAUGGGCGGAAGCCUGAUGCAGCAACGCCGCGGGCGGGAUGACGGCCUUCGGGUUGUAAACCGCUUUCAGCAGGGGCGAAGCUUGUGGUGACGGUACCUGCAGAAGAAGCACCGGCUAACUACGUG